rnacentral:misc_RNA from 1 species
GCCUCUUCAGUUCACCAUAUCAUCAAGCAAAGACAAAUUAAAUGUAAGAUAAAAGAAUCUACAACCAAACAUUUCUCUGAGUUCAGUUUGAUAAAUAACAAAAAAAGCAGCAGUGAAUCUUGUAAGUUGUAACAGAAACAGGUGCUUGAUGUUUUUACACCCAACAUACCAUGUAUGCUCAGGAGUAAUCAUAAAGUGAUAUACUUUUGUCAUCUGAUACACUAGCUAGCCGACCAGCACGGACACCAGUCCCUCCAGGUGGCCGAAAUGCCACUCCCCAGACCUGGUCUGCAUGAUUACUCAUUGUCUGCACAGCAGCCCUCAUGUUGAGAUCCCAUAGCCUCACGGUUCUAUCACUUGAGCCUGUUGCAAUAGCAGCCCCAUCAGGGCUUGCAUCAACACUUAAUACCCAGCUUGCAUGACCUGACAUUGCUGUAACCAGGCUUUUCCCCUCGGCAUCAUACAUGUGCACAUGAGCAUCAUCUGAUCCAGAGAAGAGCACCCGAGGAUCUAUAGGAGAAUACACAAGAGAGCGCACAGGCAUGAAAUGACCUUCCAGAUGAUGUAGAAAUUUUGCUCGAGCUACAUCAAAAACAGAAAUAGUGCCAUCCAUCGAGCCACAAGCAAGCCUUUUCCCAUCAGGACUCCAUGCAACUGACAAGACAAACUUCUUACUGCUAUUCUUAUCUGAAGGCUUGGGUCCUUCUGGACGAGGAAUAGAUAGGGAGGCAAUCAGUUUCCAUGUAGCAGUGUCCCA